AGGGAGCCUGGAUGGAUUGUAAUGCACACGGAUAGACAGAAAUGCUCAGCAGAUGAUUUUGCUUAAAUCUCAAAUGCAAACAUGGGAGCAUUUUCCCAAGAUCCUGCAUUUUUCCUGCUGCUAAACAUACUCCAAGAGUUCUCAGGAAAUGAGGACAACAGAAAGCUGCAGAUCCCAUGAAUGUAAAAAUUGUCUUGAAGGCAUGGAACAAUCCAGCCCUAAUUACAGCCAGCUGAAGCCUGCUCUCUUUGCACUGAUACUUAGGAACACAAUGCUGCUUUAAUUUUGCCUGCCCAAGAGUCACGCUGCAUCUUUGCAGUUAAGAUGAAGACAGGUUGGAGGAACAGGCUGAGGAACAGCCUGUAGAACCUACUGGAAGAAUUAAGGACCUUUCCUGGGAAAAGGAGCAGAGCUCUUUGGAGUUUUUCAAGGAGACAGCACUGUCCAGUUCUUUUGGGGUUUCGUUUGUGGGGCUGUUUUUUUUUCCCUCCUCUGGUAUUCUGCUUCUUGUGACUUCAAGUGUGAACACAUUUGUGAGUGACAAAGUUGGCAGAAAGAAGGCAAACACAAAUCAUUUGUAUAGCAGCAGCCACAAAUAACAAGGAGCAAAGUACUUAAACUUCUGUGCAAAGCCUACCAAGGGCACAGGCUGAGCAGCACAACCAGAACACCCUGACAACGAUUAUCACCACAAAAGGACCUUUUAGGACAUCUGAAGGGAAGAUUCUGAAAUAGCUCUGCAGAUGAAUAGCAACGAGUAAAAUUAAUAAGAACCAUCCUAAGAGAAAACACACAUUAUGUGUUUGAAAAUGGACUUAAUGAGAAGGGUGAAUACCCUCUCAUUGAAGGCAGGUAAGGGAAUAGCCACUAAAUUAGACUUCAACUUGUGGCUCAUUGUCUAAAUGGAGAUAUGAGAGAUGAGUCAAAAGCUUACUCUAGAUGGAGAAGAUUGAAUCUUCUCCUAACCAGAGUGUUACCAAACAAUUUGAUUUUGCAGAUGGGAUUGGCCAGAAAUAGGAUGCAAGAGAAGAAAAUGAAUGAGAACUGAGGCCUGCAAAGCCUCCAGGAAUGUUGAGGGGACACCACAAUCCUUCGUAGUUUUGAGAACCUCACACAGCAGCAAAAUUCUUCUUUGCAUAUUUUCAAGUUCUUUGAAAUAAAAAAAAUAGCCCUGAAGGAAAGAGAAAUCAGCCAACACUUCAUGGCAUGGAAUGGUUGCACUGAGAGAUUAUUUAAAGUGUCUGCAUAAGGAGAUGUGUUUGUGUAAAAUGUUAACCCAUUCCAAAAUGUCUUUUUUUUCUGGCUAGAAGAACAAGAGACAGGGAACUCUGUGGAUUCAGGCAGGAUGCUGCAGUUCAAGCAGCUGGCCAGGGGAGGAGGGAUUUCUCCUCCUUUAGUGUCCACCAGCCUGCAGGACCUGUUCUCAAAUUGUGGACACCUCUGGGCAAAUGUCUAUAGGGAACACCAAACCAGGAAACAUUGCCAGAGCUGUAUCUAUAUAAUAAAAUAUCAAGUUACACACAUUUUUAAAUUUUACCUGCAUGCAGGUAUUUGCACUUCUGUCCUAAAAUUCUGCAGGUUUUGCCCAGCAGUACAAAGGGCUCUCCUUGCAUUUCUUUUUUUGCUUGUGGAGCUGCACUCCAACACCUCUGGCACAGCUGGAGAUGGCAGAGAUUCACUGCCACAGCUGGAUAUAAAUCUGGUGUUCCUGUGGCUUGUGAGGAUUACUGAGGUGUUUUAUAGGUGCCACAGAAAACAUUUUAUCUCCAACAUCAGCAUAUUGCACAUUAAAUGGUAGCUAAGGCAACACGUGGCACAGAGAUCACAGAUACAUUUGUCAUUGUACUCACAAGCAGCACAGGGGCUUAAAAAACACAAUCUACCACUCCAAAAGAAAAGACUCAUGCCACUCCACAUCACUUCAGUUCCAGUGCCCGGUACUAUAGAUUAAUUUAAAACAUUUGAAGUUAAUUGACAAAGAUGAUGUGCAAUCCUUUUUAGCCGCUGCUCCAAAGAGGCAAUUCACACGGAUGGAGUACAUGGAGCUGCACAUGAGUCCCUCCAUUUUCCCUUGGCUUUCUGUGGAGGCUCAGGCAGCAGAAGCUCCUCUGCAUGGAAAGAGCUGCCAUGUGCCUCGCUCCCCUCGCCUGUCCUCGCAGCACAAAGGGCAGGAAUGCUCAAGAAAUGAAUCACAAACAUCCCAGCUCUCAGUGCCAGGGCUGGAGCAGCUCCCUGGCCUGUCAGGCUGAGUGACAGCCAGGGCUAAAGGGACACCUCCUCACAAGAUGAGGAACAGGAAGGCCAUUUCAAACCCCUCCAUCUGAAUUAUGAUUGCCGACUGUAUAAGGAGGCAAAACCGGAAGCAAAUCCACAAGGAGACAAAGCAUCAUUUGGGAAAGGUUUUUCCUAUUCAUGUUGAUUGCAAGUGAACUCUUCCCGAGCCGUGAACAACUGGUGAUGCUUUAGUGUUCAGUACAUGGCCUGAUUUUAUCAUAGAAACUCGUCCUUGCCUUCAGCUGCCUGUCAGGUUUGCCAAGCUGAUAGCAUUCUGGCAACACUUGCGCUGUUUAAUGUCUCAGCAUGUUGUAUCUUGGACACAAACCCCUGCAAAAAUACCUAAUUAUAAAUAUUUACAUUUGUUAUCCUUUUUGCAUGAUACAGUAAAGAGAGGGAAAAUAGAUUCUUUCCACUGAAUCAGUAAAGCAUGACAACAUCACAGGGUCAAUAUCCAUGACCAAAGCAUUCAAGGGGAUUGGAAUCCCCUUGAGUGGGAUUCCACAGUGCUCCCACACAGGGUAUGCAGGCCAGCUUUGCCCAGGAGGCUGCAGGGAGCACCUGGCCCAGAAAACACCAGGAAUUCCAGGAAUGGCCCCAGAGGGACAUUGCUGGUGGCUGAGCUCCUGAGAGGCCACUCAGGUGGUGGCAUUUUGAGGAGUCAUUACCCAGCCAAGGAAGAGACGUGCUCUUCUUUCAGAGUAAUAACUCCUUCACUUCCAAAUUGUCUCCUUGGGCAAAGAAAUGCUGCACACAGAAUAGAUCCACUCUUGAAGGAUACAGGGAAAGCAUCAGUACAGGGAAUGUGCAGCCCUUGACAGAUAUGUUAAUACAAAUUCACAGAGGUACACAACAAACUCCAAAAAAGUUUAAAAGUCAAAACUUCUGAUACUUUAAAAAAUAUUAAAUACACGAUGACUGUUUAAAAUAGAACUGAUUCAUGGGGAGAAAGGAAGCACUUAAUGACUUGCUCAUGCUUAAGGACUCUUAAAUAAAACAAGUAUCUGUUACUCAUGCAUUUGAAGGAUUUGCUACUCUCGAGCUACUGAUUUGAAAAGCUUUUGACACAGCAAGAUGAAGACACAUCCCCAAGGGCUGCUGUGUGAGCUGAAAGCCUGUGUGCUCUCAAACACUCUUCCUUUCAUUGAAGAAGGGAAAGAUUAGCAAGAGGAAUUAAAAAAAUAAAGACUUAACUGUUUUGGCUUUGGAAAUGAGGUUUCAAUAAGAUUUUCUGGCCUGAAGAAUCACCAAAGAACCCCAAACUAUCAUGUGAAGAAGUAGUGAUGGAAUUUGAGACCAUCAGAGGCUAUCCAGGCCCUGGGCUGCAUCUCUCCUUCUGCUAUUUUUAUUCAUUAAUUGUAGGCCUAAUAUUACAAACCCAAUACUAUUUCAUAAGAGGAGAAAAUUAGAAAAAACAGAAAUUACUAUUAGUCACCCUCCAUCCUUAUGAAUGAAUCAUACAGUACAAACUUCAAACACGGGGCUUAUCAAGGCUUGGCCAAAAUGCAAUUUUUGGCUAUGGGAUAGCAGGCAGCAACAAUGAAACAACACAAGCCUCUGCUCCAUUUUUACUGCUCUGUGCUCCAACAAUUUCUUCUCUCAACAGCUACUGAAAACCUAGACUUUUAUUGGUAUUUCACAUUCACAAAACCCUAUGAACAGCUGAAUGUGGCUUUCCAGAGGGCUCUUGGCACAGCCACACAAGCUCAGGUAGCAGCAUGGACGCAGGGAGAAGGAAAAGCUGGCAGUCUUUGGCAAAACAAAAAACUGAGAGCAACAAUAAACAACCCCCAAUCCCAAACCCUCAAAUGUCUGUUUAGGCAGCUUUCUUUCACAAACUAACCCCAAAACUUGCACUGGGAUUGCAAUUCGCAUUUCAACCCAUUCUCCCCCCAUCCCCGUUUGCUGUUUGCCCAGUUUUAUUAGAACCAUCUGCAAGAUCUUCCCCUUCCAGUUUCUUGUGUCGGUUCAUCUGGCAGCUGCACUUUUUCAUCUAUUGAAAAAAAAAAUCUUUGUUUCAAAUUUGUUGAGACAGAAGGUCUUUGACAGGCUAAAAAUUAUCUUGAAAAUCAACACAGAAACCACAUCAUAUGCUGUUCUUUACAGACUGAAGGGGAAGAAUGGCAGCUAGAAUAUAUAUAUAUUAAUGGGAAGAUAAAAGAGGGUUUUGGGGGUCAAGAAAAAUUUUACCAACUCAAUUUAUCUGACAAAAGCCACAAUUUACUGAAGUACUGUAAGUUGCCACUGCAGAAGCAUUUCAGGCUCUGCAUUAUUGCUGACAGGAACAAGAGAAAUACAGAGAAAUAUUUCCUUACAGCAGCUCUUGGCAAAACAUAAGCAAGGGGAGUGCUAAGGGAAGGAGGAAUGUUGGUGAA